rnacentral:lncRNA from 1 species
AUUGAAUGCCAACUCAUAAUAUUCCAAACACGAAUUUGCAAAGAGAGAUUGAAAUCGUAGCUUCUUGAUUGAAUGAAACGCAGUCGGAUUUCUCUCUAAAUGAACCGUGAGCUCUCCACUCGAAAUUGCAACUCCCAAAUUCAUUAUCAUUGCAAACCCUAACCCCGAAAUCAAUGCAACUCCCAAAUUCAUUAUCAUUGCAAACCCAACCCCCCAAAUCAAUUCUCAAACACAAUCGAAGAAAAUUCGUGAAGAAUCGUGGUAAAUGGAGGGACCACAUCUAGAUAAAUUCCAAACAUUUGUUUUGUUUUGUUUUGUUUCUUCUUUUUAGUAUUUUUGCAUCAUUGUCUUGUGUAAACCGACAAGAUCGAGACAUUGUUGUCUUGCAUAAUUAUUGUACAUAGAUGGAUCCGAGUCUUGCUCGAAAUUCUCCUUUUGAUGCUUUGUCCCUUACAGAUUUCUACUGUGUAAUGUUCUGUAUUUAACUUUAAAAAAAAUGCAGUAAUGAAUUGUGUAAUUUGUAAACUAAAAAAUGAUUUAUUGAAUGUUUUUCGAUUGUGAUGUAUCACCGUUGUUUGGAAGUUCGUUUUUUCAACUGUGGCUGAAAAUGUGGUUUAUUGACCGUGUGUAUUGUAUGGAAUUAUUUUUGUUCACGGAAAGUUCAUUUUUUAUUCAAAUGGAUUCUGCAUUUUCUUAUCGGUCCUUAAUUUUAUGUUUUUUCACUGAUGUCCUGAUGCACAAUUUUAUGUUUUUUCACUCAUGUCCUGAUGCACCAUUCGAUGUAAGUGUUGGGUUUUGAUACCAAAUAAAUUCAGACGAUGAUUUAAAACAAAAUUUAGAUAAUUUAUUGACACUAUAGACUUGACUUGACUUGACUUGCCCUUUUUUGUGUGCCUGGUAAGUAUGUAUUGUACAAGAGAGUGGAGAGAAAAAGAGAGAGGACAACCAGAUUGGGGAGAAUUAGGAGAAUUUUCCACCAUUGUUGCUUCUUCUUCUUUUUCUUCCUACUCUUUCUAAUACCAUCACCAUUUUUCUCCUUUGUGAGGUUGAGAGGACUUGUGGCAACCAAAGUGGAGGUGACGUUUUCGAUCAAGUGUAGGUGGUUGCAAUGUUUGUUCAAUGAUUUUUCUGAAAAGGGCAGAAUUCGAGGCUGAAAAUCAGGCAAAAAGCAGGAAGGAUUUUUGGGAGUUAUCUUCAAUUUGUCAGAUUUUAUUUUCCAUUUUUCAGCCAAACCAGUGAUUGAUUGGAGAAACCAACACCACAAGCCGACUUAGAAGGCGGAGAAGUAGGUGAUGCUGUGGCGCGUGGAUGCCAUGCACAAAACUCUAGCGAGGAGCGUGUAGCAUAUUCCCGUGAUGGUUUGAAUAGACAAAAUGUUUUCGAUGACAUAAUGGAUCCUGUGUUGCUGUCGAAUUCUAUUUCAAGCAAUAUGAUGAAAUUCGGACAAUUUUGUCCUUUGAUGUUCCGGGGGGGGGGGGGUGCCAAGUUCGUUGAUUGGUUGCCGUAGCUGCUAGAAGAUUUAGGAUGAAUAUUUGUAGCCAUAAAGUGGUGAAUUUUCAUCUCUCCUUCUUUAUGGACAUGUAGAUAUAGCCAUCUUGGUAUCAUGUACUUUCCCUAUUAUUAUUGCAAUUAUGGUUAUUGUAUAGGGUAACAAUUUACUUUUUGCAUUAGAAGUCAUUGUGUAGGGUGACAUUAGGAUUGGAGUUACCAAGAAGGGGUAGUCAUUGCCUGUUGCUAGACCUAUAAAGAAGUUGUUAAUUAUUUGCAUUGAAUUCUUUGUGAAUUUGUUGCCAAUUUAUUUUUUUCACUAUUAGAAUUGUACGUGACCUUAGGUAAAUUUGUUUGACUAUUUUGUGUGAAUUGUA